AGUCUUGCUUAUAAGGCAAAGGUAGUCUAGUUGCUCUCCAUAAAACCCUGGGAGGAGACUGUGUGCCUCCUCUACGGAUCCUGUCUGGAGUCUAGUU